CCCGCCAGCUCCCGGUGCUCAGCAAGGAUCUCUAAUUCCAUUUUGCACGAGCUGGGCCAAGGCGAAAUCGCUUCCGAGAGGAAGGAAUAAGCAGUUGUUUUUCUCCUGCAUCCAAAACAAUCUGACCCUCUGCACAAUCUCAGCAGGACCUUUCCUGCAUGCACUGUCUCUCCUCCUGGCCAUAACACUGGAAUCCAGGAAGGAGAUGAUUUUGCAAAGCAAAAUUACAAGGAAAUUCUUAAUUGUUUCACAGAACCACUGCUCAGGUCUUCUAAAGGCUGUAGUGA